CUACACACUCCUUGAAAAAGGCACUUUUCUAACUUUAAACAGAUUUAUUUUGUUUAAAUCACACAGUAAAAUAGAAAGAGCAAAGUUGAGGAAACAGGAGGGAUGAGCCUAACAGAAUACUUUCAUUUUCCUGCAUCCCAUUUACAUCCAUCAGUGUCAGCCGAUCUUUUACCAGAAUUGUCUUUUUUUAUUAUUAUUAUUCAUUGUGCCCAUUUCCCGGAGGCGGGACGGAGCAGGGGGAAGGAGCCGGAAGAUGCCGGCGAGGCCCCGCGGGGCCGAAUGCCGCCGGUACCUUUGCUCAGGCCACAGGGCCCGGUGUCCAGCAGCUCCUGCGCCGUCUGGAAGCGGCGGCGAGGCGGGCGUGCAGGGCGGGGACCAGCGGCAGCGUGCCCAACUCCCGCCGCAUGACCGGGAUGCACCGGCACCAGGAAAGCCUCGGAUCGCCCCGGAUACGUCUCGGACAUGCUCCGGACAUGUUCAGCAGGCGGCGAUGGCUCCAGGCCCGGUCCCCACCCUGCCCCUCACGGUCUGACCCCGCCCCCGCCUCACCCUGGCCGGAACCGGGCGGUCGGGAGCUGCGCGGCAGCGGCCGCUGUGCACGGCGCGGCGGUUCCUACGUGCCGGGGCCACUGUGGCGGCAGUAUGUGGUUGAAGAAGUGAACCCAGAUGACUGGUGCAGCCUUGUGAAGACAGGACUCGAGUACUCUUACAGUGAUGAAACAUUUCUGAAGGUGCUGAACGUUGCCAUCCCGUUACUAUACAAGAAAGAAUCCUCACUUAGUCAGAACUUAGUCAAGUUCUCCGAACUUCAUGUGAUGAUCACACAACACUCUCUAUUUUUGUCAACCAUCCUGAGGUCAAUAGAAGAAGAUGGCACGACAAUCCAGACAAGAGAGGCGCUGGUGGACAUUGUGCUGACAGCUGUGCAGCUCAGCUCCUCUCUCUGUGGGAGCAGUCACCUCCCAGUGCUGCUGGGAGCCUACAGGGCCACGCUGAGCGCCGCAGGUCAGAAGAUCCUGCUGGUGUUUCAGUUGUAUGAGAAGAAUAAUCCAAGUCUUAUAAACUCCAGCUUAAUUCCAUAGGUGCCUCUAAAUGGAUAUGUUCUGCCUUGGAUGGAUAGAGGAGGGCAGAGUGAAUAAGACACCCUCAGACUAAAUUUGAAAAGCCUUGGGAUGGAUGGCAAAGGUGUUGCCAGGGAAACGAGUUCUAGCUUCGAGUCCCACAAGGUAAUAAGUACAAAUGAAGGCAAAAUCUCCUCUGGAAUUGCUUUUGGCUCUCUUGCCUGAUGCAGUUACCUUAAAUAAUGUUUAAAGAUCCUGCUGUGAGGUCCAGCCACUGUGGAGCAUCACAAGACUUGCAGAGUCUGGGCAAGUCCCUGUGGCAGCAGCCAAGCACGGAGGAGAUUGUGUGUCUGCUGGAUCGAGAGAAGAUGAUGAAGACGCUUCUGUCGUUCCCUCAGCAUCCCCGGCUGCUGUCACCACAGGUGCUUUUGGUUCAGCCUGCGUACGGUUAUCCUUCCUUGGAUAUACAGCAAAAGCCUUGAGGCAUUAAUUUCUUGCCUCCAUGCAGUUUGCUUCCGUCGGCAGAGUCAUUUCAGUUUGUAGGAGGACUGGAAUUGGUUGUUUGGGAGCACCUUUCAAAAUUAACUGCAAGAUACAGGCCACGUCUCAUCAGCAGGGGUGACCGUGCAUUGCAGAGGUCGUCACGUAUGCGAGGCCAGGAUUGGACAGCCCAAGGACCCACUGGCAAUGGGCUCUCCAGCCUUUCUUACAGUUUGCUGGCAUGCUUCUGUAGCUGUUGGUGCUGCUCAGGGGAAAUAGUUGUGGAGAGAGUCUCAUGGUGAAAGCUGGCUUUAAACACAAGCACGUCACACCCUGCGUUGCAUCAUAUUUUACAAUGCGUGCGGUGUCAGGUGAUACAAGAGUCACUAUAUAAAGAUGAAACAGUCAAGAGCCUUGAUGACUUCUAUGAUCCUUGUUUUCUACUUCAACUCUUCAGUGAAUUGGCCAGACCAGGUUCAGCUUGACUUGUGCUCAAAGACAGGGAUGACUCCAUAGCCAUAUGUGGUGAAUUGUUAUUUUGGAGGGGGAUUUGCAAGUUUAGGGCUAAAAUAUGGUGUGUAAGAAAAGGCUUUUUUUGUAGCAUUAGAUAAAUGCUUUUGCAUGA